rnacentral:lncRNA from 1 species
CCUUUGUGUCCAAGGAGGUUUUCAUGUCUCUGCAACUGCCCUUUGCUUAUGGGAAGUGAUUAUCUUGAUAAGGCAGAUUUUCUCCAGGAAAGCGUGCUGCCUCUCUCUCAUACUUCUUGACAUCAUUCUUUCAAAGGAGAAUAAAGAAGCAGCCAUACAUCUCUGCCAUUGAGUUAGGUCGUCCGUCUGCACCAAGGGACAGAGCGUGUCAAGCGAGCUGUGCGAGUGCAAGAGCUCAGAGUGCAGAACCCUGAAUCUAAGUGAAUUUCCUGUUGCGCUAGAGGCUGAGAAAGCCAUCGGAGAGCCGCAGACAAGCGUUAGAAAGCCAGAGCAGCGCCACGCGAGCGUGGACAUGGUACCGGAGGGAUCGAUUCGGAGCCACGAGCGAACGGUAAUCAGCUGUGACGUUUCCUAAUCCGGUUGUCGUAGGGAGAUUUCACCUAGUGCCUGCCCGCG